UGCAUUCGGUUUAGUGGGGUUUCCAAGACGCAUUUAGCAUUUUUUAAAAAUAUUUAUUUGCAAUGCCCUUAGAAAUCCCAAAUAACCGAAUGA